rnacentral:rRNA from 1 species
GACGAACGCUGGCGGCGUGCUUAACACAUGCAAGUCGAACGGAAAGACCCUGCUUUUGUGGGGUGCUCGAGUGGCGAACGGGUGAGUAACACGUGAGUAACCUGCCCUUGACUUUGGGAUAACUUCAGGAAACUGGGGCUAAUACCGGAUAGGAGCUCCUGCUGCAUGGUGGGGGUUGGAAAGUUUCGGCGGUUGGGGAUGGACUCGCGGCUUAUCAGCUUGUUGGUGGGGUAGUGGCUUACCAAGGCUUUGACGGGUAGCCGGCCUGAGAGGGUGACCGGCCACAUUGGGACUGAGAUACGGCCCAGACUCCUACGGGAGGCAGCAGUGGGGAAUAUUGCACAAUGGGCGGAAGCCUGAUGCAGCAACGCCGCGUGCGGGAUGACGGCCUUCGGGUUGUAAACCGCUUUAGCCUGUGACGAAGCGUGAGUGACGGUAAUGGGUAAAGAAGCACCGGCUAACUACGUG